UUUCCCUCCCCAAUUAGAAAACAAUAGAACUAAAAACCUCACUCCCCAAAUGAAUGAAAAACAAUAAAACAUCCUAAAUCGCUGCUGAAAAAACCUAACAGGUUGCUGCGUCAACGGCAGUGCGAUUUACAGUGCAUCAACGGCAGCGCGAGUGCGUCAACGGCAUCCUACCUUUUUCCAGGUGCAAUUUAUAGUGUAUCAACGGCAGUGCGAGUGCGUCAACGGCAGCCCAUCUUUUUCCUAGAUGGUCAAUUCUGGUGACAAUAUAAAUGCAGUGAUCAUGUAAAUGCAUCUUUAUUGUAUUUACUCUGAACAUGUUCUUUUUUCUGCAAGUCCAAAGUCUGCAAGAAAAGCUUCAAACUGUGGACCAACCAAAAUAUUAUUGGCCUUGAUAUCGCGAUGGACUAUAGGAGGAAUACAAUCAUGGUUAUAUUGUCUGAUGUUGAAUAAUUUAGCUGGUGAAAGAGUUCAAAAUGACGAAAAGUUGUGGAAACCAUUUGAAGACCCAUCAUUCGUCUGGAUUAGUUAUAUAAUGACAUUAGUUAUUUAGCCUCAAUAAUAUAUUUUUUAUGUUUAAAUUACUGUGAUAUUAAUAUUUUUGAUUAGUACUUCCUUUUGUUUGUUAA